UCAAGCCAAGAUUUAGAGGGAAUAAAGAUAUCAUACCUCAUUGGUUACCAGAGGCGCCACAAGAUCUAUAGGAGGGCUCGAAGGGAAUAGAAUGUUGUGGCGGCCCUGAGACAGUCGUCGAAGCAAGCACAUGAACAGCAGCAAUGGCGCAACCGGUUUUCAGGCCAUAGGAAUAAGAAGAAGAAGAAGAAGAAGAAGAAGAAGAAGAAGAAGAAGAAGAAGAAGAAGA
rnacentral:lncRNA from 1 species